AGGUAGUAAAAAUUUAAUAUAAAACCUAUUUAUAAUGGCGGCAUUUCAUCUUAUUAGAGGAACCUGUUCAUUAAUCGACAAUCCACGAUAAUUUUCACUUUUAUUAAAAAUUUAUAUACCGCCAUCUAAAGAAUCAAUUUAAUAAUGUUUUUCUUAAUAAAAAUUAAAAAGUUAGGUCAAGGUGUAAUCCAUAUAAAAGAUUCCUAAUGGGUUACAUUAAAUUACAAUUUAAGAAUUAUAUUAUAACAAUAAUAUAUGAAAAAGGAUUUAAAAGUAAUAAUCAAAUAAUAAUUAAUUAUAAUAGAUAAUAAAUGUGC
rnacentral:rRNA from 1 species